UGGAUUCUGAGAUGACUGAGUGGCGGACGGGUGAGUAACACGUGGAUAACCUGCCUCACACUGGGGGACAACAGUUAGAAAUGACUGCUAAUACCGCAUAAGCGCACAGUACCGCAUGGUACAGUGUGAAAAACUCCGGUGGUGUGAGAUGGACCCGCGUCUGAUUAGCUUGUUGGCAGGGUAACGGCCUACCAAGGCAACGAUCAGUAGCCGACCUGAGAGGGUGACCGGCCACAUUGGUACUGAGACACGGACCAAACUCC
rnacentral:rRNA from 1 species